CUGGGGCUGCGUUUUCUCACCUGCUGGUGUUCCGAAGGGCUCAGGAUGUUGGAUGCACAUGCGAAGGAUGUCAAGGACAGCGGCUGAGUGCUGGUAAAACAAACAUCACAUGCUCCAUGGGGCUCCUACAAGGUUUGCAAUCAAGCGCUCUCUAAUAACCGCUUAAAUACUCUCAUCAAGCUUGUCCUUGCUGUUUGUUUUAGGACACAGUGUUUUUCUCUCCCCUCUGUAUUCCUUCUCCGCGAGCGAUAGUCGGAGCUAGAGGUCACACAAAGCACAUGCAGGUAUUGGGUUUUUCUCUUUCCCUGGGUUUGCUCUUAUCGAGGAGUUUGCCUUUCUCCACCAGUGGAGGGGAUGUGGCUCUGAAAGCAUCGCUUUGUUUUUGAGGUUGGCUAAUCCUCCCUGAAUGUGGCUCCUUGUUCACUCCUGGCAGGUUUUCAAAAGCGAAUGGAACAAAUGAAAGGUGACAAGAGAAAUAAGAGCUCGUAUUAGCAGAAAGAAGGGCAUCCACACAAAACCAUGUUCCGCUUUUGCCCGGCCUUUGAGGUCAGCAGGAACCAUAGCAGUUGCUUGUGAGAGGCUGGGGAGUGGAGCAGAGAAGCCCAAGUGACCACCUACCCCUGCCCCAUCCCAGGGCAGCAGCUUCCCUGCUGCCCUUCCCAGGUCUCACUCUCUUCCUGGGGAAGCUGAGGGUUGAUGCUGCUGCCUGUUGGUUUCUUACUUCACUUAAAGCUGCCUUCUGAUUGCUGUGGAGCUACGGCCCGUGGCUUUAAAACAACUGCUGUAACGUGUGUCAGGCAUUAUAUAGGUACAGCUAUAGGGGAGCUGUGUAGAAUCGUGGAUGUGUAAUGUAGAAUCAUGGAACGGUUCAGGUUGGAAGGCACCUUAAAGCCCAUCCCUGCUAUUGGCAGGGACACCUCUGACUGGAUCAAGGGGUUCAAAGCUCCAUCCAACCUGGCCUUGAACACCUCCAGGGAAGGGGCAGCCACCACUUCAAAACCAUUCCUCCUUCUCCUGUCCCUGCAUUCCCUGAUCAAAGCCCCUCCCCACCUUUCCUGUAGCCCCUUUCAGUACUGGAAGCUGCUCUAUGGUCUCCUUGGAGGCUUCUCUUCUCCAGGCUGAACAACCCCAACUCUCUCAGCCUCUCCUCGUACGGGAGGUUCUCCAGCCCUCGGAUCAUCCCUGUGGCCUCCUCUGGACUCACUCCAGCAGAGAUCCAUGUCCUACCUGUGCUGAGGACUUUAGAACUGGAUGCAGGGCUCCAAGUGGGAUCUCACCAGCAUGGAACAGAGGGGUAGAGUCCCCUCCCUCACCCUGCUGGUCCCACUGGUUUGGAUGCAGCCCAGGACAUGGUUGGCUUUCCGGGCUGCAAGCGCACAUUGACAGGCUUUGCAGGAACCCAUGCCUUGUCCCGAAUCAUGAUGUGUUUGGUGGGGAUGGCAAAAGAAAGCAGCCUGUCCGAGCUGGAGAUGUGGUCAGCGUGGGUGCAUGCCCAGGGCUGUGCCUCUUGCAAUCCUGCUGGAGCCCAGGGGUUACUCCCCACUGCAGAGCCAGACGUGCCG